rnacentral:rRNA from 1 species
UACGGGGGGGGGUAAGCGUUGUUCGGAAUUACUGGGCGUAAAGGCUCGUAGGCGGCCAACUAAGUCAUACGUGAAAUCCCUCAGCUUAACUGGGGGAACUGCGUGUGAUACUGGAUGGCUUGGAUUUGGGAGAGGGAUGCGGAAUUCCAGGUGUAGCGGUGAAAUGCGUAGAUAUCUGGAGGAACACCGGUGGCGAAGGCGGCAUCCUGGACCAAUAUUGACGCUGAGGAGCGAAAGCCAGGGGAGCAAACGGG